GAUGAACGCUAGCUACAGGCUUAACACAUGCAAGUCGAGGGGUAACGAGAGGAAAGCUUGCUUUCCUUGUCGACGACCGGCGCACGGGUGAGUAACGCGUAUCCAACCUGCCCCCAACUAGGGAAUAACCUUGCGAAAGUAAGACUAAUACCCUAUAAUUUCCUCAGAUGUCAUCUGACGAGGAAUAAAGAUUUAUCGGUUGUGGAUGGGGAUGCGUCUGAUUAGCUUGUUGGCGGGGUAACGGCCCACCAAGGCAACGAUCAGUAGGGGUUCUGAGAGGAAGGUCCCCCACAUUGGAACUGAGACACGGUCCAAACUCCUACGGGAGGCAGCAGUGAGGAAUAUUGGUCAAUGGGCGGAAGCCUGAACCAGCCAAGUAGCGUGCAGGAUGACGGCCCUAUGGGUUGUAAACUGCUUUUAUACAGGAAUAAAGUUAGCCACGUGUGGUUAUUUGUAGGUACUGUAUGAAUAAGGACCGGCUAAUUCCGUGCCAGCAGCCGCCGCGG
rnacentral:rRNA from 1 species